rnacentral:rRNA from 1 species
GACGAACGCUGGCGGCGCGCUUAACACAUGCAAGUCGAACGGAAAGGCCUGCUUUCCCUUGUGGAUUGCGGGUACUCGAGUGGCGAACGGGUGAGUAACACGUGAGUGAUCUGCCCCCAACUUGGGUAUAAGCCUGGGAAACUGGGUCUAAUUCCCGAUAGGACUGCAGGGUGGUGCCUGUGGUGGAAAACGAUUUUCUAGUGGUUGGGGAUGGGCUCGCGGCCUAUCAGCUUGUUGGUGGGGUAAUGGCCUACCAAGGCGGCGACGGGUAGCCGGCCUGAGAGGGUGGACGGCCACAUUGGGACUGAGAUACGGCCCAGACUCCUACGGGAGGCAGCAGUGGGGAAUAUUGCACAAUGGGCGGAAGCCUGAUGCAGCGACGCCGCGUGGGGGAUGACGGCCUUCGGGUUGUAAACUCCUUUCGACCGCGAGGAAGCCACCUGGUUGGAAGGGUGGUGACGGUAGUGGUAGAAGAAGCACCGGCUAACUACGUG